ACUCCUACGGGAGGCAGCAGUGAGGAAUAUUGGUCAAUGGACGGAAGUCUGAACCAGCCAAGUAGCGUGCAGGAUGACGGCCCUAUGGGUUGUAAACUGCUUUUGUAUGGGGAUAAAGUGAGCUACGUGUAGUUUAUUGCAGGUACCACAUGAAUAAGGACCGACUAAUUCCGUGCCAGCAGCCGCGGUAAUACGGAAGGUCCAGGCGUUAUCCGGAUUUAUUGGGUUUAAAGGGAGCGUAGGCCGGAGAUUAAGUGUGUUGUGAAAUGUAGACGCUCAACGUCUGACUUGCAGCGCAUACUGGUUUCCUUGAGUACGCACAACGUUGGCGGAAUUCGUCGUGUAGCGGUGAAAUGCUUAGAUAUGACGAAGAACUCCGAUUGCGAAGGCAGCUGACGGGAGCGCAACUGACGCUUAAGCUCGAAGGUGCGGGUAUCAAACAGGAUUAGAUACCCUGGUAGUCCGCACAGUAAACGAUGGAUGCCCGCUGUUGGUACCUGGUAUCAGCGGCUAAGCGAAAGCAUUAAGCAUCCCACCUGGGGAGUACGCCGGCAACGGUGAAACUCAAAGGAAUUGACGGGGGCCCGCACAAGCGGAGGAACAUGUGGUUU
rnacentral:rRNA from 1 species